UAAGCCAAUCCCAUAAAACCAUUCUCAGUUCGGAUUGUAGGCUGCAACUCGCCUACAUGAAGCUGGAAUCGCUAGUAAUCGCGGAUCAGCAUGCCGCGGUGAAUACGUUCCCGGGCCUUGUACACACCGCCCGUCACACCACGAGAGUUUGUAACACCCGAAGUCGGUGGGGUAACCGUAAGGAGCCAGCCGCCUAAGGUGGGACAGAUGAUUGGGGUGAAGUCGUAACAAGGUAGCCGUAUCGGAAGGUGCGGCUGGAUCACCUCCUUUCUAAGGA
rnacentral:rRNA from 1 species